rnacentral:rRNA from 1 species
CGCGGUAAUACGGAGGGUGCAAGCGUUAUCCGGGAUUUAUUGGGUUUAAAGGGUGCGUAGGCGGCUGUUUAAGUCAGUGGUGAAAUGUUGCAGCUUAACUGUAGAGUUGCCAUUGAAACUGAACAGCUUGAGUUAUCUUGAGGUAGGCGGAAUGUGUAGUGUAGCGGUGAAAUGCUUAGAUAUUACACAGAACACCGAUUGCGAAGGCAGCUUACUAAGGAUAAACUGACGCUCAGGCACGAAAGCGUGGGGAUCGAACAGGAUUAGAUACCCUGGUAGUCCACGCCGUAAACGAUGAUGACUCGCUGUUGGCGAUACACAGUCAGCGGCUUAGCGAAAGCGUUAAGUCAUCCACCUGGGGAGUACGCUCGCAAGAGUGAAACUCAAAGGAAUUGACGGGGGCCCGCACAAGCGGAGGAACAUGUGGUUUAAUUCGAUGAUACGCGAGGAACCUUACCUGGGCUUAAAUGUGCUUUGACAGCCGGAGAAAUUUGGCUUUUCGCAAGAACAGAGUACAAGGUGCUGCAUGGUUGUCGUCAGCUCGUGCCGUGAGGUGUCGGGUUAAGUCCCAUAACGAGCGCAACCCUUAUUGUCAGUUGCUAACAGGUAAAGCUGAGGACUCUGGCGAGACUGCCACCGUAAGGUGAGAGGAAGGUGGGGAUGACGUCAAAUCAGCACGGCCCUUAUGUCCAGGGCUACACACGUGUUACAAUGGCCGAUACAAAGGGCAGCUACCAGGUGACUGGAUGCUAAUCUCUAAAGUCGGUCUCAGUUCGGAUCGGAGUCUGCAACCCGACUCCGUGAAGCUGGAUUCGCUAGUAAUCGCGCAUCAGCCAUGGCGCGGUGAAUACGUUCCCGGGCCUUGUACACACCGCCCGUCAAACCAUGGGAGUUGGGGGUACCUGAAGU